rnacentral:rRNA from 1 species
AUAAUGGGUCAGCGACUUAUAUUCUGUAGCAAGGUUAACCGAAUAGGGGAGCCGAAGGGAAACCGAGUCUUAACUGGGCGUUAAGUUGCAGGGUAUAGACCCGAAACCCGGUGAUCUAGCCAUGGGCAGGUUGAAGGUUGGGUAACACUAACUGGAGGACCGAACCGACUAAUGUUGAAAAAUUAGCGGAUGACUUGUGGCUGGGGGUGAAAGGCCAAUCAAACCGGGAGAUAGCUGGUUCUCCCCGAAAGCUAUUUAGGUAGCGCCUCGUGAAUUCAUCUCCGGGGGUAGAGCACUGUUUCGGCAAGGGGGUCAUCCCGACUUACCAACCCGAUGCAAACUGCGAAUACCGGAGAAUGUUAUCACGGGAGACACACGGCGGGUGCUAACGUCCGUCGUGAAGAGGGAAACAACCCAGACCGCCAGCUAAGGUCCCAAAGUCAUGGUUAAGUGGGAAACGAUGUGGGAAGGCCCAGACAGCCAGGAUGUUGGCUUAGAAGCAGCCAUCAUUUAAAGAAAGCGUAAUAGCUCACUGGUCGAGUCGGCCUGCGCGGAAGAUGUAACGGGGCUAAACCAUGCACCGAAGCUGCGGCAGCGACGCUGAUGCGUUGUUGGGUAGGGGAGCGUUCUGUAAGCCUGUGAAGGUGUGCUGUGAGGCAUGCUGGAGGUAUCAGAAGUGCGAAUGCUGACAUAAGUAACGAUAAAGCGGGUGAAAAGCCCGCUCGCCGGAAGACCAAGGGUUCCUGUCCAACGUUAAUCGGGGCAGGGUGAGUCGACCCCUAAGGCGAGGCCGAAAGGCGUAGUCGAUGGGAAACAGGUUAAUAUUCCUGUACUUGGUGUUACUGCGAAGGGGGGACGGAGAAGGCUAUGUUGGCCGGGCGACGGUUGUCCCGGUUUAAGCGUGUAGGCUGGUUUUCCAGGCAAAUCCGGAAAAUCAAGGCUGAGG